CAAAGGCAUUAGGGAGUGGCUGUGACCCCAGAGAACCCCUGGCCCACCUUCUGCACUUUCCAAUGAAGCUUCGGCAGGUUACCUGAUUUCAGUAUGCGGUCAGUGACUGAGCUGGGAGUGGAGUCCAGAGUUUUGGGCCAAGGGGUCUUAGGAUAAUGUCUGUGGGCAGCCCCAGGACAUCCUUCCUGAGUUGCAGUUCAGCUGCCAUCAUGGUGCUUCAGCCCCCUCCAGCAUCUAGGGGCUGGCUCUCCUUCUUAUCUUGAUUUCUCUCCCUCUGCAGGGGGAUGCAGGUGUCACUGGCCGUAAGAUUAUUGUGGACACCUAUGGCGGCUGGGGGGCUCAUGGUGGUGGGGCCUUCUCUGGGAAGGACUACACCAAGGUGGACCGCUCAGCCGCAUACGCUGCCCGCUGGGUGGCCAAGUCUCUGGUGAAAGCAGGGCUCUGCCGGAGAGUGCUUGUCCAGGUUUCCUAUGCCAUUGGUGUGGCCGAGCCACUGUCCAUUUCCAUCUUCACCUACGGAACCUCUCAGAAGACAGAGCGAGAGCUGCUGGAUGUGGUGCAUAAGAACUUCGACCUCCGGCCGGGCGUCAUUGUCAGGGAUUUGGACUUGAAGAAGCCCAUCUACCAGAAGACAGCAUGCUACGGCCAUUUCGGAAGAAGCGAGUUCCCAUGGGAGGUUCCCAGGAAGCUUGUGUUUUAGAGCCAGGGGGAGCUGGGCCUGGUCUCACCCUGGAGGCGCCUGGUGGCCAUGCUCCUCUUGCCCAGAUGCCUGGCUGCUGAUCGCCUUCCCCACCCACCAACCCUCGGGGCAAAGCCAGGUCCCUCUCAUGUAGCCUGCCCUGUCAUCAUCAUGGCCGGCUGGACGCAGGGGCUUCCUGGUGCUGGAGGUUGGAUCUUGAUGUGAGGAUAGGCAUGGUGUUCUCCUGCUGCUCCCUCAGACUGGGGCAAUGUUAAUUUAGUGGAAAAGGCACCCCUGUCAAGAGUGAAUGAGUGAAUUCCCUCACUCGCCUCCCCCAACAGCUGGAUCCUGACCAGCUCCCCCUCCCUCCCCUUGCCUGUGCCAGGUGAGGUCAGCACAUCUCAACAGGCCUCAGGGCUCUUUGUGGGCCUGGGCUCCUGGGCCCCCCUUUCACAGGCAGCCAGUGCCCUGAGCCAGGGUCUCCAGAAAGCCCCACCCAGGCCAGGCAUGUGGCAGGGGUUAGAGCAGGACUGAUGUCUCCUAAGCACCUGUAAUGUGCGAGGGACCCAGCUAAUGACUGAUCUCAUUUUUUCUUCACUGCAACAUGAUGAGGUAGUACCUUUUAUAUCCCAUUUAUAGAUGGGGGAAAGCAAAGCACAGAGUCUGGAUAACUUCCACAGGGUCCCACAGCCACGUGUUUAGGCCUAGAUGUAUAACUAGGAGCUUUGACUCGGGAGCCUAUGACAUACCCCCCUCCCCCACCGUUGUCUCAUGCCAGUAACAGGCUCAAACAAUGACAAAGCAGAUUCAGAAAUGAGGCCACGGACUCUGUCCUGAAGGCCCAAGGUUACUGGAAAUUAGGGGAUUAACCCACUAGCUCUUGUUGAGCCCUGGGCAAUUGUCUGAAAAGUGAAGACGGAACCAUAGGGCUAUUUUGUUUGCUUCAUGUGUCCCAGAAGAUGACUGAGGGUGAGCUGGCUACCUGGCCCAUCAGUGUGGGCUGGAGUUUGGGACUGACCAGCAGCUUUAGAAUCCCAGCCCCCUGACCACUCAGAGACAUGCAGAGAUUGGGUUUUUGGACUUCUGGGGUAAGUGGUCUAAGUCCAGUCCAGUCCUAUCUGGGCUUCCUGGAACAGAAGCAGCAACUUGUCCUAGCACAGGUGGCCAGCCCCUUAGACAGAGGCCCUCAAGUCUUUCUCUUUCCCUGGUCCCUUGUAUCCCCUCCAGGCUGAGUACAUUUGGAGGGAGUGAGUGGGCCCUUCGGAUGCCCCAUCCAGGGAGGCUGGUCCUAAGGCCUCAUGUUAAAUAGGUGGGGCUUGCCUUCUGGUGUUGGACAAGCUGCUGAGAUGUCAUGAGGAGAUUCUGCCUUUGCCAGGUGACUCUCUGGGGAGCAGGUCUGCUCCCAAGGGGCCUGAGCAGUCCUUGGCCCGCUAGGGUCUUGGAACUUGCCUGCCUUUCCAUCCAUGGCCAGCAGCACCUGCCCUACCUGCCCCACUUGUCCUUAGCCUGGACCUCUGACAUCAGCAUCUCUACCUUCUCCCCAGCUCCCAGGACCACAGGCUUGGGCAGGGGCCUCCAUGGGCCCCAGGGGAACAUUGGGGACUCGGCCUCUCUCUAGGGUACAUGGUGCUGGUUCAGGCUGGGAGAGGCAGCCCAGGAAGUCUCAUCUGGGGAGCAGGCAGCCUGCAUCUGGGCCUUGGCCUGGAGCACAAAGACCCUGGCUUUCAUUUUCUCUCAGAUGAAAGGAAAUUAAGGCAACAAAAGAAGCCCGGCUCCUGGUCACCUAGGAAGUCUCAAAUUCCUUCCCGUGGAGGGAGGGAGGGGUUUGCAGGUGGCCAAGUUCCUCUAACUUGGAUCAUACUCGACAUGAAAAUUCAGAAUUUUAUACUUUCCCUACGCUCUAGAGAAAUAAGAUCUUUUUUGUCAAUUUGUUUGUGUGAAACUAAAGCCUUUGUUAAUAGUUCCUGAUAAAACAGUGAAUAAAAACUCAAGGAGCAACUA
rnacentral:sRNA from 1 species